rnacentral:rRNA from 1 species
UGCGUAGGCGGUUCGCUAAGUCGGAUGUGAAAACUCUGGGCUCAACCCAGAGCCUGCAUCCGAAACUGGCGGGCUAGAGUUCUGGAGGGGGUAGCGGAAUUCCUGGUGUAGCGGUGAAAUGCGUAGAUAUCAGGAGGAACACCGGUGGCGAAGGCGGCUACCUGGACAGAAACUGACGCUGAGGCACGAAAGCUAGGGGAGCAAACA